rnacentral:rRNA from 1 species
UGUUCCUACGGGAGGCAGCAGUGAGGAAUAUUGGUCAAUGGACGCAAGUCUGAACCAGCCAUGCCGCGUGCAGGAAGACGGCUCUAUGAGUUGUAAACUGCUUUUGUACGAGGGUAAAUCCCGAUACGUGUAUCGGGUUGAAAGUAUCGUACGAAUAAGGAUCGGCUAACUCAGUGCCAGCAGCCGCGGUAAUACGGAGGAUUCAAGCGUUAUCCGGAUUUAUUGGGUUUAAAGGGUGCGUAGGCGGUUCGAUAAGUUAGAGGGGACAUCCCGGGGCUCAACUUCGGCACUGCCUCUGAUACUGG